GAUGAACGCUGGCGGCGUGCUUAACACAUGCAAGUCGAGCGAUGAAGUUUCCUUCGGGAAACGGAUUAGCGGCGGACGGGUGAGUAACACGUGGGUAACCUGCCUCAUAGAGUGGAAUAGCCUUCCGAAAGGAAGAUUAAUACCGCAUAACGUUGAAAGAUGGCAUCAUCAUUCAACCAAAGGAGCAAUCCGCUAUGAGAUGGCCCCGCGGCGCAUUAGCUAGUUGGUGGGGUAACGGCCUACCAAUGCGACGAUGCGUAGCCGACCUGAGAGGGUGAUCGGCCACAUUGGGACUGAGACACGGCCCAGACUCCUACGGGAGGCAGCAGUGGGGAAUAUUGCACAAUGGGGGAAACCCUGAUGCAGCAACGCCGCGUGAGUGAUGAAGGUUUUCGGAUCGUAAAGCUCUGUCUUUGGGGAAGAUAAUGACGGUACUCAAGGAGGAAGCCACGGCUAACUACGUGCCAGCAGCCGCCGUAA
rnacentral:rRNA from 1 species